GUGCUGAAAAAUUUACCCUCUGAACCCCCUGAUUUGGCAGAUAAUGAAUUGGCUUCUCUGGUGAACUUAGAGUUUUAUAGAUUGGACUUACUUAUGAAUAACUUUGAAUGUGUUCAUUUUUCCACAAGCUGGGAGGGCUUGAGCAGGCUGCCAGAGGUGUAUGAACAGCUUGCACCACGGCCGAGACUGGGACUGAAGAUCUGCCUUCCGAGGAACUGUGAAUUGUUUGUGCUUGACAACAGGAAGAGAACCAGUGAGUGUGAGACUGAGGGCACACCAGAAACAUCGCAUCCUGAGCUGGAGAACGACACCAAGCUGGCAAUAUCCCCAGCUGAGACAGAGAACCGCAGGGAAAAGACACUGGAAGACAUCCUUACCGUGACUGUUCCUGAUAAAAAAAUCCACCCUGUCCUUUCUGCGGUACCCAGGUGAACUGUGUGUUGGGCUUGAUUGAACAUCUGAGGGUAGCCCACGGGAAAAGGAGGGUUUGUUUUCAGUGUGCUUAAUGUGUAAAAAAAAAGAGUAAUUUUCAUGGUAUUGUUUGUCACUUUCCUGAAUGCAGAACAGCAGAAAUGGCUCCAGCCGAGAUAGCGGAUAUGUAAGGAAUGCAGCAGGGACUUCAAGAUGAAAAUUGGUCUGGAACAACACAAAAGAUUGGCACAUGCAUUGGUUAGAAAUCAGGAAAGGGUCACUGUUUCCCACCCAAAAGAGACUUCCAACUGAGGAGCCCACAAAAGAUGCUGGACUAAAGAGGAGGAAGAACUACUGAUAAGAUUGGAGGCUCAGUUUGAAUGGAACAAGAGCAUCGAUAAACUCAUUGCAGAACACACAUCACAACCAAAACAGCUAAACAAAUCAGGGACAAAAGGAGAUUGCUGCCCAAGAAACCAGCUGAGGAUGUACAUAAGGAACCUGGGAUGAGUCAUGAAACCAGGAGAGCUGCUGUGGGCCUUAGAACAGAAUUGGAAAAAGACCUUGGGAGGAGUCAGAUGCCUGGGAGACCAGCUGCUGGAAGGAAAACAGAUGCCAAGAUGAGUCACCCUGAUAAGGAACAGCUGGGAAACAGCAGCUGCCAGAGGGAGGGGCAGCUGCAGGCCAACUAUCUCAGAACCCUCAGGGAAUGGCUAUCAGCUGGCACAAUCAACACCUUCCCUCGGGCAUUCAAGCACUUCCUAGAUGGCCAGGAGAUGCAAUCAACAAUCAAUCAAUCAGCACAGGAAUGCUUCUGAUGCCUUGAAUCAAUCAGCCAGAUAAGAAUAGCAACCAGAGAUAAGAGAAAAAUGGGGACCCAGGAAAAAGGACCAAUGAGACCUUUCCAAAAGUGGAAGAAAAGAACAGCAGUUAAGAAGAAAAGUAAUUAUCUUCACUUCCAGGACCUGUCCCAUCUAGAUAGGGGAAAACUUGCUAAAAUUAUCCUGAAUGACAUAGAGUGUUUUUCCUGUGAAAUCCCUCCCAGCGAACUUUAUUCAGUUUUUAAAGCCAGAUGGGAAACACCUGGAACAUUUAAUAGCCUUGGGAACUUCCAAAUUAAUGGGAAAGCUGACAAUAGUGCUGACAAUAGUGCUCUUCAGAGACUUAAUUAAAGCAAAAGGAAUUGAGAAGAAUACACAGGAGAUGAGCAAAAACUCAGCUCCCAGUCCAGGAUUACUCUAAGAGACAUUAAGAAGAUGGAUCCAGAGUACUCCCGAACCAGGGAGAUCUUCAGCUUAUGGUUAACAUCAGGAAAAAUCCCAGACAUGCUGAGGGGUUGCAGGACUGUUUUGAUUCCUAAGUCAACCAAACCAGGGCGCCUAAAGGACAUUAACAACUGGAGACCCAUCCCAAUUGGUUCAAUCUUGCUUAGACUGUUCUCCAGGAUUUUAACAGCCAAACUGACCAAGGCUUGCCCCCUCAAACCAAGGCAAAGAGGCUUUAUAAGAGUAGUGGGAUGCUCUGAAAAGCUGAAACUCCUGUAAACCAUAAUUGGUCAGCAAAAGGAGAACACAAACCCCUGGGUGUUGUAUUUGUGGACAUCGCCAAGGUUUUGCCACCGUAAGCCAGCAACACAUUCUACAUGCCCUACAGGAAAGGGAAGUAGAUCCCCACAUCAUCAAUUUGGUUUAAAAACGUGAUUUUUGAAAUCAGUCCAACAGAAGAAGCAGGAGAUUUUGAGGUUAAAGCAAAAUUCAUGGAUGUACAGAUGGAAACAUUUAUGUUACAUUAUCAGGAUCUCUUGCAGCUGCAGUAUGAAGGUGUUGCUGUCACGAAGUUGUUCAACAGAGCAAAAGUGAAUGUCAAUCUUCUGAUCUUCCUUCUGAAUAAGAAAUUUUAUGGGAAGUAACUGACCUCUGCCAGCAAGUCUUUGAAAGGGGAGAUGGAUAGAAAUCUGCACCUACAACUUCUAAUAAUGUAGUGAUGUAUCAGUAUAUUCCCACUGUGUACUAGUUGUAUCAAAUGUAUCAUGGAGGACUAAGAACCUCUUGGGAAUUGACAACCCUGAUUGAGUCUACAGGGAGUUGGUUUCUUGUUUAUUUAUAAUCUUCAACUUUGAAGAUCCCCUUUAAAGAGGUUAUUUUAGAAUGUAUUUUUACAUGGGUUUGGGAAUUCAACUAAUGUUAGAGUAUACUUAGGCCAUCUGAAUGCUAAUUUUCCUAACUGUGUGCUUUAUGAGGCUUGCGUUCUUGUUGCCUAUGCAAAGAGAAAGCUGGCACUAUAUAGAGGUCUGUUAGCCUCUUCCUGAGAGCCAAAAAAGGGUUGCAGGUGGUAUUUGGACUCCAGUUAUUCUCAAGCAAAGAUGACCAAUAGAAAACAUGGUCAAGGUCCAGGUUACCUGUUCGUUUGCAAGCUUGCAUUGGUAGAGGUGGCAGUGGCCAGUUGCCAAGAUUAGAAUGACUGCGGUCAGGGUAAUCAGUAAGCAUCAUAAAAAGUUACUGAGCUAUUUGUGAUUAUGUACUACAGCCACAUAUAGCAGCUUAAGUGUCUUCUUCAUCUGCUUCUG